CCUGAGAAACCCAAAAGAUCGAAUGGGGAGAUUCAUCGUCAGCAUGUUAGUGUAUAUACAAGUUACGAUACAAAUUAUCCUUGUGAUAAUACUUACUACGUACUUGUAUUAUUGUGAAGCUAAACCUGUCGGCGUGCACUUCUCCCCUAGUAGGACGUCGCGACCCGUUGGGUGUCGGUCUAUGGCCCGGAAGGUAGUCUUUAAUUUUUUUCAAUUAAAGACCUCCGGUUGACCUGAUCGGCUGCUCGGCGGUAUUCGCACGGUAUUGAGUCGCAAUAUAUAUAUAUAUGCGUCGAGCCCGUUGCAAGCGCGGCCAGUAUUUAAACUCGGUAGUGCGGAUUUAAUGCCGUUACUGGGGCUGGCCAGCUGUUGGUUGACGGUGUUCUUUGACUGGCUCAAAAUUAAUUACCGGUCGGCGACGCUACUGCUUUGGGUACUUUCAGGACCCGUCUUGAAACACGGACCAAGGAGUCUAACAUGUGCGCGAGUCAUUGGGAUUUAUUUUUAUAAAUUAAACCUAAAGGCGCAAUGAAAGUAAAGGUCGUCCUUGUGUCGACUGAGGGAGGAUGAGUGGCAGUAAUAUGUCAGCUUCGCACUCCCGGGGCGUCUCAUUCU
rnacentral:rRNA from 1 species